GAUGAACGCUGGCGGCGUGCUUAACACAUGCAAGUCGAGCGAGAAAAGUUCUUCGGAGCUUUUCUAGCGGCGGACGGGUGAGUAACACGUGGGCAACCUGCCUCAUAGAGGGGAAUAGCCUUCCGAAAGGAAGAUUAAUACCGCAUAACAUUGUUGAAAGGCAUCUUUUAACAAUCAAAGGAGCAAUCCGCUAUGAGAUGGGCCCGCGGCGCAUUAGCUAGUUGGUGAGGCAACGGCUCACCAAGGCGACGAUGCGUAGCCGACCUGAGAGGGUGAUCGGCCAAAUUGGAACUGAGACACGGUCCAGACUCCUACGGGAGGCAGCAGUGGGGAAUAUUGCACAAUGGGGGAAACCCUGAUGCAGCAACGCCGCGUGAGUGAUGAAGGUCUUCGGAUUGUAAAGCUCUGUCUUUAGGGACGAUAAUGACGGUACCUAAGGAGGAAGCCACGGCUAACUACGUGCCAGCCGCCGCCGUAACAC
rnacentral:rRNA from 1 species